rnacentral:lncRNA from 1 species
AUUGUUUCUGUGUUCCAUCUGAUACGAGAGCCACACAAAUUAAAAAUUGAUUUUGUUGUUAAAUCUGAUAAUGGUAUAAAUCCAUCUGUCAUCUGAUCAUAUUCAUACUGCUCGAAUGAACCUGUGCCACCGUCCGGAAAGAAAAAUGGUUUACCGAUAUUCGAUUUGCAUCCUACCAAAUCAUGCACAUACUAAUCGUAUAUCUUUAUCCAUCUAUUUUUAACAAAAUAUAAUAUUAUUAACUAAAAAAUAUAUUAAAAUAUAAUUGCUGGUCAUGAAUAUAAUUGUUUGUCAUGAGUCUCAUGAAUAAUGGAAAAUUCACAUAAAGAACCAAAACAAUUCAGUUUCAAAAAAAAAAACAAUUUCAAAUUCUUUUUAAAUCAACAAUAUACUUAAAAUUCAACAUCUCCGGAGAAAAAAAAAUCAAAUGAAACUCUUGUUGGAUAAUGGUUACUGGGGAAAGACCAAGACUUAAGACGUCGUAGUUAAUAUCAUCAUAUUGAGAAAUAGUAAUAAUUAAUUAAAAAGCUUUAUGGCCCUCUAUGCUAGAUAAUGUAUUGACUUAAUUAAAGAGUUUCUAUUAAAUACUUAAAAGGUCGCGAUUAAUACGGAGACAAUUAGGUCAGAUCCAUGCAACUAUGAAGACUUCGUUAACCAAAUCAAUCUAUACUAUUAUUAGAAAUAAAUUUGCUUAUUUG